UCCUACGGGACGCAGCAGUGAGGAAUAUUGGUCAAUGGGCUAAGGCCUGAACCAGCCAAGUCGCGUGAGGGAAGACGGUCCUAUGGAUUGUAAACCUCUUUUGUCGGGGAGCAACGAGGCCACGUGUGGCCGAAGUGAGAGUACCCGAAGAAAAAGCAUCGGCUAACUCCGUGCCAGCAGCCGCGGUAAUACGGAGGAUGCGAGCGUUAUCCGGAUUUAUUGGGUUUAAAGGGUGCGUAGGCGGAGUGUCAAGUCAGCGGUAAAAUUUCGGGGCUCAACCCCGUCGUGCCGUUGAAACUGACGCC
rnacentral:rRNA from 1 species